rnacentral:antisense_RNA from 1 species
UCUGUGCAUGCACAGAAUCUGGGCCCAGGUGACUUAUGGAACCUUUAUAGAGACCAAGGUGACUGACAUUCAUGGGAAAGGGGGUAGAGGGGCAAUAACUGACUGUUCGUCAAAAAUUAUUAGACGAGUGUGUCCACGACACCAGGAGAUAUGUUGAAUCAUGGACAGGUACCAGCAUAUCCACUAAGCUCUAUAUAUGUUGAUGGUGCAAGAUCCAAGUGGGAUGGAACAACAAAUUCCUGCUCAUCCUCCUGCUCAAUAAUACAUGUGCUCAGAAUCUGUUCAUAAUGCAUGGUGAGUGGGAGGCAUAACUGCUUUGCCUCCAGUCGUCAUCUGGGGGCAUAUCUACUCUUCGAGGACCAGGGGUUCGGGACCCUGGAACAGGAUCUGAAUUCCAAGCUGACCUCAGGGGUACAUGAAGACUGCUAGAUGAGAUGGGAUCUCACUGUGCUGCCCAGGCUGGUCUCGAACUGCUGGACUCAAGUAAUCCUCCCAUCUUGG